rnacentral:rRNA from 1 species
GACGAACGCUGGCGGCGUGCCUAAUACAUGCAAGUUGAGCGCUGAAGGUUGGUACUUGUACCGACUGGAUGAGCAGCGGACGGGUGAGUAACGCGUGGGGAAUCUGCCUUUUAGCGGGGGACAACAUUUGGAAACGAAUGCUAAUACCGCAUAAAAACUUUAAACACAAGAUUUAAGUUUGAAAGAUGCAAUUGCAUCACUCAAGGAUGAUCCCGCGUUGUAUUAGCUAGUUGGGGAGGUAAAGGCUCACCAAGGCGGUGAUACAUAGUCGACCUGAAAGGGAGGAUGGCCAAAUUGGGAACUGGACACGGCCCAAAACCCUACCGGGGGGAGCAGGAGGGAAAUAUUGGAAAAGGAGGGAAGGCUGAACGAGGAACGACGGGUGAGGGAAGAAGGGUUUCGGAUCGGAAAACUCCGUUGGUAGAGAAGAAAGUUGGUGAGGGUGGAAAGCUCAUCAAGUGACGGUAACUACACAGAAAGGGACGGCUAACUACGUG